CCUCCCCCUCUCCCGUCCCUCCCACCCUGCCUGCUGGAUCCCCAGCAGUCUCUUGACACCUUGGGGGAAGGCUGGGAGGUGUAACCAUCGCCAGCGAGCGAGGGAGAGCAGCAGAGAAGGGAGAAGGAAGCCAAUAACAGGGAGGUCUAGGAAGGUGGUGGAGGGGGAGGGACGGGGCCACUCCUCCAUCGGUGGGACUGCAGAUUAUUUUGCAUGGAUUGUUGAAGAGAAAAGGGAGCUGCAUUUGUGAAGGGACCAAAAAAUAAACAGCUCAUUGCUCGGGCAGGGGCCGUGCAGGGAUCGGGAGCGGCCGGCUGUGACAGGGGUGGCGAUGCCACGCGCGCUGUGACUGUGAGGGAUGCACACGGAUGCACGUGGAGAAGAGGUAGCGCCGAGCCUGAGCCGAUCCCUGCCGUGAUUGCCGGGCCAAGGAGCGGAACAUGAGCGAGAGCAGCCCGUUGCCAUGCUGUGCCGCAGACGAGGGCGAGCCGCGCUGCCCGUCCCCGCUGUCCUGCGGCGCCGGGGCCGAGCAGCCGGGGCCGGCAGCGGAGCCUGCCAGCGGGAGAGCCGGCCCCCGGAGCGCUGCUCAGCCCUCCCGAGCGCAGGGGGAGCAGCGGCACCAACAUCU